GACAGCUGCACUCAUCUCUGUACCUGAGACACACGAGGAGAGAACACUCAGAGUCCUCAGAGUGAAUGUGACUGACUCUGUGGACACGGCGGCCACCAUCCUCGGGCCUCCUGGACGAGCGGGGGACAGCAGCCGGGGACAGGGUUGUUUUUGUAUGUGUGUCUGUGUGCAUCAGUUCUGUUACCCGCACAGCUAGAAACUUUGCCUGGGAAUUUCUGUGAGCAAAAAUUUCAGUCAUUGUUUCUGGUCGUGUGUGUAAUGUGCAUCCAAGAACAAGCGGUGGAGCUGUGGAUGGAGGGAUUUAGUCAGCUGGAAAUGAGUCUGAAGUGGACGAGAGGCCAAACACCUGCAUCAUCUCUACAGAACCUGACAUCUGUUAAACAAGCAGUGGGAAUGACAAGCUGCCAGUCCGCUGUUGGCAGGAUUCAUGUCUAAUCGCUCUUUUAAUAGCCUGCAUCAGGGAUCUACGCUCUGAUCGGGAACUCAUGCGGGUUAUUGAAAGUAGAACAUGUGUCCUGUCUGAUUUUGAAGGUGUUACUCUCCCAGUAGCAGCAGGAGCCACUUUUCUGGUUAUGGAGGUGCAGCCUCCAGUAAUUUGGUUGUGACAUAUCCCAGCGAGGGCAUGGCAGUGAUGUUACCACAUGCAGACGGAGUAUCAGUAUGUCAGGUAUGUUGGUGAACCAGCUCCACUCAGCCAAUGAUGGGUGUAACUCUGUACUUACCUGGAGAGUGGAAUGAUUUAUUAAAAAGUGCGGACAAUAAAAAGGCUCCCUGCCUCUGACAGUAAACUGAUAGUACAAGGAAACUGAGAAAUGAAAUGAGCAUGUGAUUCAUUUUGAGAAAAGGAGGCCAAGUUAAAGACAAUCCAUUCAUGCAAGGUGAAAGUAUUUCAUGUGUAUUGUUGUAUGUGUAUUUUAUGGUUUCAGUGAUUAUGAUUGUGUAUGUGCUCCUACAGAAAUAAAAAUUAGACUUUA